CAGUCGCCGCGGGAAUACGAAGGGUGCAAGCGUUAAUCGGAAUUACUGGGCGUAGAGCGUGCGUAGGCGGUUUGUUAAGUCUGCUGUGAAAUCCCCGGGCUCAACCUGGGAAUGGCAGUGGAUACUGGCAAGCUAGAGUGUGUCAGAGGAUGGUGGAAUUCCCGGUGUAGCGGUGAAAUGCGUAGAGAUCGGAAGGAACAUCUGUGGCGAAGGCGACUAUCUGGGCCAACACUGACACUGAGGCACGAAAGCGUGGGGAGCAAACAGGAUUAGAUACCCGAGUAGUCCCUGUCUCUUAUAU
rnacentral:rRNA from 1 species